GCUUAACACAUGCAAGUCGAGGGGCAGCAUGGUCUUAGCUUGCUAAGGCCGAUGGCGACCGGCGCACGGGUGAGUAACACGUAUCCAACCUGCCGUCUACUCUUGGACAGCCUUCUGAAAGGAAGAUUAAUACAAGAUGGCAUCAUGAGUCCGCAUGUUCACAUGAUUAAAGGUAUUCCGGUAGACGAUGGGGAUGCGUUCCAUUAGAUAGUAGGCGGGGUAACGGCCCACCUAGUCUUCGAUGGAUAGGGGUUCUGAGAGGAAGGUCCCCCACAUUGGAACUGAGACACGGUCCAAACUCCUACGGGAGGCAGCAGUGAGGAAUAUUGGUCAAUGGGCGAGAGCCUGAACCAGCCAAGUAGCGUGAAGGAUGACUGCCCUAUGGGUUGUAAACUUCUUUUAUAAAGGAAUAAAGUCGGGUAUGGAUACCCGUUUGCAUGUACUUUAUGAAUAAGGAUCGGCUAACUCCGUGCCAGCAGCCGCGGUAAUACGGAGGAUCCGAGCGUUAUCCGGAUUUAUUGGGUUUAAAGGGAGCGUAGAUGGAUGUUUAAGUCAGUUGUGAAAGUUUGCGGCUCAACCGUAAAAUUGCAGUUGAUACUGGAUAUCUUGAGUGCAGUUGAGGCAGGCGGAAUUCGUGGUGUAGCGGUGAAAUGCUUAGAUAUCACGAAGAACUCCGAUUGCGAAGGCAGCCUGCUAAGCUGCAACUGACAUUGAGGCUCGAAAGUGUGGGUAUCAAACAGGAUUAGAUACCCUGGUAGUCCACACGGUAAACGAUGAAUACUCGCUGUUUGCGAUAUACUGCAAGCGGCCAAGCGAAAGCGUUAAGUAUUCCACCUGGGGAGUACGCCGGCAACGGUGAAACUCAAAGGAAUUGACGGGGGCCCGCACAAGCGGAGGAACAUGUGGUUUAAUUCGAUGAUACGCGAGGAACCUUACCCGGGCUUAAAUUGCAGAUGAAUUACGGUGAAAGCCGUAAGCCGCAAGGCAUCUGUGAAGGUGCUGCAUGGUUGUCGUCAGCUCGUGCCGUGAGGUGUCGGCUUAAGUGCCAUAACGAGCGCAACCCUUGUUGUCAGUUACUAACAGGUUCCGCUGAGGACUCUGACAAGACUGCCAUCGUAAGAUGUGAGGAAGGUGGGGAUGACGUCAAAUCAGCACGGCCCUUACGUCCGGGGCUACACACGUGUUACAAUGGGGGGUACAGAGGGCCGCUACCACGCGAGUGGAUGCCAAUCCCCAAAACCUCUCUCAGUUCGGACUGGAGUCUGCAACCCGACUCCACGAAGCUGGAUUCGCUAGUAAUCGCGCAUCAGCCACGGCGCGGUGAAUACGUUCCCGGGCCUUGUACACACCGCCCGUCAAGCCAUGGGAGCCGGGGGUACCUGAAGUGCGUAACCGCGAGGAGCGCCCUAGGGUAAAACUGGUGACUGGGGCUAAAU
rnacentral:rRNA from 1 species